rnacentral:rRNA from 1 species
UACGAAGGGGGCUAGCGUUGCUCGGAAUUACUGGGCGUAAAGCGCACGUAGGCGGCUUUUUAAGUCGGAGGUGAAAUCCUGGAGCUCAACUCCAGAACUGCCUUCGAUACUGGAGAGCUUGAGUCCGGGAGAGGUGAGUGGAACUGCGAGUGUAGAGGUGAAAUUCGUAGAUAUUCGCAAGAACACCAGUGGCGAAGGCGGCUCACUGGCCCGGUACUGACGCUCAGGCGCGACAGCGUGGGGAUCAAACAGG